GGGUGGUUAGCUCAGUUGGUUAGAGCGCCGGUUUCACAUACCGGAGGUCGGCGGUUCGAAUCCGCCACCGCCCA
rnacentral:tRNA from 1 species